rnacentral:sRNA from 1 species
GUCUUGAAGAAGAAAGUGGACAUCCAGGCUCUGCGGGGAGUCUCCCUCAGCACGCGACAGGACGACUUCUUCAUCCUCCAAGAGGAUGCCGCCGACAGCUUCCUGGAGAGCGUCUUCAAGACCGAGUUUGUCAGCCUUCUGUGCAAGCGCUUCGAGGAGGCGACGCGGAGGCCCCUGCCCCUCACCUUCAGCGACACGUACGGCCCCGCCAACCCCAGCACCAUCUCGGGGUGGUCUCGGCGCGGCGCACCCUCUCCCGCCCCACCGACCCGGCCGAACUGCGCUUCGGCCCCGGCCCCGGCCCCGCCCCUGCCCCAACCAGCGAGAGUUGGGUGGGGCGGGGGACCUCAGCCAGCGCCCCCAAGCUUUCUUCUCUCCCCAUAGACUACAGUUUCGGGUGAAGAAGGAGGGCUGGGGCGGUGGCGGCACCCGCAGCGUCACCUUCUCCCGCGGCUUCGGCGACUUGGCAGUGCUCAAGGUUGGCGGUCGGACCCUCACGGUCAGCGUGGGCGAUGGGCUGCCCAAGAGCUCCAAGCCUACGCGGAAGGGAAUGGCCAAGGGAAAACCUCGGAGGUCGUCCCAGGCCCCUACCCGGGCGGCCCCUGCGCCCCCCAGAGGCAUGGAUCGCAAUGGGGUG